UACGGAAGGGGCAAGCGUUGUUCGGAAUCAUUGGGCGUAAAGAGCGUGUAGGCGGCCAGGUAGGUCUGCUGUGAAAACUCGAGGCUCAACCUCGAGACGUCGGCGGAAACCAUCUGGCUAGAGUCCGGAAGAGGAGAGUGGAAUUCCUGGUGUAGCGGUGAAAUGCGCAGAUAUCUGGAGGAACACCGGUGGCGAAGGCGGCAUCCUGGACCGGCAUUGACGCUGAGGCGCGAAAGCUAGGGGAGCAAACGGG
rnacentral:rRNA from 1 species